rnacentral:rRNA from 1 species
AUUGAACGCUAGCGGCAUGCUUAACACAUGCAAGUCGAACGGCAGCGCGAGGAGCUUGCUCCUUGGCGGCGAGUGGCGGACGGGUGAGUAACGCGUAGGAAUCUACCUUAUAGUGGGGGACAACUCGGGGAAACUCGAGCUAAUACCGCAUAAUCUCUAAGGAGGAAAGUGGGGGAUCUUCGGACCUCACGCUAUUAGAUGAGCCUGCGUCGGAUUAGCUUGUUGGUGAGGUAAUGGCUCACCAAGGCGACGAUCCGUAGCUGGUCUGAGAGGAUGAUCAGCCACACUGGGACUGAGACACGGCCCAGACUCCUACGGGAGGCAGCAGUGGGGAAUAUUGGACAAUGGGCGAAAGCCUGAUCCAGCAAUGCCGCGUGUGUGAAGAAGGCCUUCGGGUUGUAAAGCACUUUCAGCGGGGAAGAAAAUCCUAAGAAUAAUACUCUUAGGCCUUGACGUUACCCGCAGAAGAAGCACUGGCUAACUCUGUGCCAGCCGCCGCCGUAACAC